UACGAAGGGGGCUAGCGUUGCUCGGAAUCACUGGGCGUAAAGCGCGCGUAGGCGGCUCGUUAAGUGUGGAGUGAAAUGCCGGGGCUCAACCCCGGAACUGCUUUACAUACUGGCGAGCUUGAGGGAUGCAGAGGUUUGUGGAAUUCCUGGUGUAACGGUGAAAUGUGUUGAUAUCAGGAGGAACACCCAUGGCGAAGGCAGCAAACUGGGCAUCAUCUGACGCUGAGGCGCGAAAGCGUGGGUAGCAAACAGG
rnacentral:rRNA from 1 species